rnacentral:tRNA from 1 species
GGAGAUGUAGCUCAGUUGUUAAGAGUGCUUGCCUCACAUGCAUAAGGCCCUGGGUUCAAUCCCCAGCACCAUUA